rnacentral:rRNA from 1 species
AUUGAACGCUGGCGGCAGGCCUAACACAUGCAAGUCGAGCGAGCGGCGGACGGGUGAGUAAUGUAUGGGGACUGCCCGAUAGAGGGGGAUACCUCCUGGAAACGGUAGCUAAUAACGCAUACUAUCGGAUAACCCAUAUGGGAUGAGAUAGUCGGUGGGGUAAUGGCGCACCUAGGCGACGAUCCCUAGCUGGUCUGAGAGGAUGAUCAGCCACACUGGGACUGAGACACGGCCCAGAGUCCGACGGAGGCAGCAGUGGGGAAGAUUGCACAAUGGGCGCAAGCCUGAUGCAGCCAUGCCGCGUGUAUGAAGAAGGCCCUAGGGUUGUAAAGUACUUUCAGUCGGGAGGCGUUACCGACAGAAGAAGCACCGGCUAACGCCGUGCCAGCAGCCGCGGUAAUUC